rnacentral:rRNA from 1 species
GAUGAACGCUGGCGGCGUGCCUAAUACAUGCAAGUCGAGCGAACGGACGAGAAGCUUGCUUCUCUUAUGUUAGCGGCGGACGGGUGAGUAACACUUGGAUAACCUACCUAUAAGACUGGGAUAACUUCGGGAAACCGGAGCUAAUACCGGAUGAUAUUUUGAACCGCAUGGUUCAAAAGUUAAAGACGUUCUUUCUGUCACUUAUAGAUGGAUCCGCGCUGCAUUAGCUAGUUGGUAAGGUAACGGCUUACCAAGGCAACGAUGCAUAGCCGACCUGAGAGGGUGAUCGGCCACACUGGAACGGAGACACGGUACAGAGUCCUACGGGAGGCAGCAGUAGGGAAUCUUCAGCAAUGGGCGAAAGACUGACGGAGCAACGCCGCGUGAGUGAUGAAGGUCUUCGGAUCGUAAAACUCUGUUAUUAGGGAAGAACAUAUGUGUAAGUAACUGUGCACAUCUUGACGGUACCUAAUCAGAAAGCCACGGCUAACUAAGUG